UACGGAGGUGGCAGGCGUUACUCGGAUUGAUUGGGUGUAAAGGGUGUGUAGGUGGUGAGUUAAGUCGAAUGUGAAAGCCCAUGGCUCAACCAUGGAAUUGCAUUUGAUACUGACUUGCUUGAGCGUCAGAGAGGAAAGUGGAAUUCCCGGCGUAACAGUGAAAUGUGUAGAUAUCGGGAGGAACACCAGUGGCGAAGGCGACUUUCUGGCUGACCGCUGACACUGAAACACGAGAGCUAGGGGAGCAAACAGG
rnacentral:rRNA from 1 species